CACGUAGGGCGCAAGCGUUGUCCGGAAUUAUUGGGCGUAAAGAGCUCGUAGGCGGUCUGUUGCGUCCGCUGUGAAAACUCGGGGCUUAACCCCGAGCCUGCAGUGGAUACGGGCAGACUAGAGGUAGGUAGGGGAGAAUGGAAUUCCCGGUGUAGCGGUGAAAUGCGCAGAUAUCAGGAGGAACACCGGUGGCGAAGGCGGGUCUCUGGGUAGUAACUGACGCUGAGGAACGAAAGCGUGGGCAGCGAACAGG
rnacentral:rRNA from 1 species